rnacentral:rRNA from 1 species
GUAGGUGGCAAGCGUUGUCCGGAAUUAUUGGGCGUAAAGCGCGCGCAGGCGGUCCUUUAAGUCUGAUGUGAAAGCCCACGGCUCAACCGUGGAGGGUCAUUGGAAACUGGGGGACUUGAGUACAGAAGAGGGAAGCGGAAUUCCAAGUGUAGCGGUGAAAUGCGUAGAGAUUUGGAGGAACACCAGUGGCGAAGGCGGCUUUCUGGUCUGUAACUGACGCUGAGGCGCGAAAGCGUGGGGAGCAAACAGGGAUUAGAUACCCUGGUAGUCCACGCCGUAAACGAUGAGUGCUAAGUGUAAGGGGGUUUCCCGCCCCUUAGUGCUGCAGCUAACGCAUUAAGCACUCCGCCUGGGGAUACGGCCGCAAGGCUG